GGAGAGGUCGCAUAGUGGUCUAGUGCGAUCGCCUACUAAGCGAUUGUGGCGCAAGUCACCGUGGGUUCGAAUCCCACCCUCUCCG
rnacentral:tRNA from 1 species